CCACACUGAGCCGGGCCUGGCGGGGUGAGGUAGUAGGUUGUGUGGUU
rnacentral:precursor_RNA from 1 species